UGCUAUCGGAUUGAUACUAAGCCAUGCGAGUCAUUGUAGCAAUACAAGGCAUACGGCUCAGUAACGCGUAGUCACCUAACCUAUGGACGGGAAUAACCUCGGGAAACUGAGAAUAAUGCCCGAUAGAACAUUAUGCCUGGAAUGGUUUAUGUUCCAAAUGAUUUAUCGCCGUAGGAUGGGACUGCGGCCUAUCAGUUUGUUGGUGAGGUAAUGGCCCACCAAGACUAUUACAGGUACGGGCUCUGAGAGGAGUAGCCCGGAGAUGGGUACUGAGACACGGACCCAGGCCCUAUGGGGCGCAGCAGGCGAGAAAACUUUGCAAUGUGCGAAAGCACGACAAGGUUAAUCCGAGUGGUUUCUGCUAAAGGAACCUUUUGUCAGUCCUAGAAACACUGAUGAAUAAGGGGUGGGCAAGUUCUGGUGUCAGCCGCCGCGGUAAAACCAGCACCUCAAGUGGUCAGGAUGAUUAUUGGGCCUAAAGCAUCCGUAGCCGGCUCUGUAAGUUUUCGGUUAAAUCUGUACGCUCAACGUACAGGCUGCCGGGAAUACUGCAAAGCUAGGGAGUGGGAGAGGUAAGACGGUACUCGGUAGGAAGGGGUAAAA
rnacentral:rRNA from 1 species